GAUCAAGUGAAUAAGUGCACACGGUGGAUGCCUUGGCGACAACAGGCGAAGAAGGACGUGGUAAUCUGCGAAAAGCCCCGGGAAGCUGAUAACAAGCUGUGAUCCG
rnacentral:ncRNA from 1 species